CCUGGCUCAGGAUAAACGCUGGCGGCAUGCCUAAUACAUGCAAGUCGAACGGGGGUGCUUGCACCCCAGUGGCGAACGGGUGAGUAACACGUAUCUAACCUACCUCAUAGCGGGGGAUAACUUUUGGAAACGAAAGAUAAUACCGCAUGUGAAUCUUAUUAUCGCAUGAGAAAAGAUUGAAAGGACCGUUUGGUUCACUAUGAGAUGGGGAUGCGGCGUAUUAGUUAGUAGGUGAGGUAAUGGCUCACCUAGGCGAUGAUACGUAGCCGAACUGAGAGGUUGAUCGGCCACAUUGGGACUGAGAUACGGCCCAGACUCCUACGGGAGGCAGCAGUAGGGAAUUUUUCACAAUGGACGAAAGUCUGAUGAAGCAAUGCCGCGUGAGUAAUGACGGCCUUCGGGUUGUAAAGCUCUGUUGUAAGGGAAGAAAAAAUAGAGUAGGAAAUGCCUCUAUAUUGACGGUACCUUACCAGAAAGCCACGGCUAACUAUGUGCCAGCAGCCGCGGUAAUACAUAGGUGGCAAGCGUUAUCCGGAUUUAUUGGGCGUAUAGGGUGCGUAGGCGGUUUUGCAAGUUUGAGGUUAAAGCCCGGAGCUCAACUCCGGUCCGCCUUGAAAACUGCAUUACUAGAAUGCAAGAGAGGUAAGUGGAAUUCCAUGUGUAGCGGUGAAAUGCGUAGAUAUAUGGAAGAACACCUGUGGCGAAAGCGGCUUACUGGCUUGUUAUUGACGCUGAGGCACGAAAGCGUGGGGAGCAAAUAGGAUUAGAUACCCUAGUAGUCCACGCCGUAAACGAUGAGUACUAGGUGUUGGGGUUAUCUCAGCGCCGCAGCUAACGCAUUAAGUACUCCGCCU
rnacentral:rRNA from 1 species